CCUACGGGAGGCAGCAGUGGGGAAUAUUGGGCAAUGGAGGAAACUCUGACCCAGCAAUGCCGCGUGAAUGAAGAAGGUCUUCGGAUUGUAAAGUUCUUUAGUCAGGGAAGAAGUCAAUGACGGUACCUGAAGAAUAAGCUCCGGCUAACUACGGGCCAGCCGCCGCGGUAAUACGUAGGGAGCAAGCGUUGUUCGGAAUGACUGGGCGUAAAGGGUGCGUAGGCGAUUGUACAAGUUAGAAGUGAAAUACCCAGGGCUUAACUCGGGUGCUGCUUCUAAAACUGUAUGACUUGAGUGCAGUAGAGGUUAGUGGAAUGCCUAGUGUAGCGGUGGAAUGCGUAGAUAUUAGGAGGAACACCAGAGGCGAAGGCGGCUAACUGGACUGCAACUGACGCUGAUGCUCGAAAGCGCGGGUAUCGAACAGGAUUAGAUACCCGGGUAGUC
rnacentral:rRNA from 1 species